ensembl:snRNA U1 U1 spliceosomal RNA
AUACUUACCUGGCAGGGGAGAUACCGUGAUCCCAAAGGUAGUUUUCCAGGGUGAGGCUUAUCCAUUGCAUUCCAGAUGUGCUGACCCUGCGAUUUCCCCAAAUGUAGGAAACUCAACUGCAUAAUUUUUGGUAGCGGGGGACUGCGUUCACACUCUCCCCUA